GACGAGCAGCGAAACAUCCACAGGAGCCACAGAUCCUAGCUACGAGCGGGAAGGCCGCGAUCCGGGCAAAACGGAAGAGGCCGGGCGUGGAGCAAUCUGCUCCGCCUCUGCCUCCCUCGCGCGAGGCCGCGCUCCCAGCGGGCGAUUCUGAUUGGCCGGCGUAGCUUCCUUUGCUGAUUGGACCCGUGGGCGAGGCGGAGGAGAGCCGUGCGCAGCGGCGUGUGUGGGGCCGUGUGCAGACCCGCGUGUGGCGCAGGCAAGGACCCUGAAAAUAAACAGCCGCUGCUUUGCGAGUCUCCUUCUUGGGUCUACGUCCGAGUCUCCUCUGCUGUGGGCAGCUCAGACGCCGAAGGUGAGAGCCGAUGGUAUAACCUGCGCAAUGGAGGUCUCUGGGUUGGUACGGCUGAGACCGACGGAGGGCCGGAACUGCGAGGCACGAUGGCGGCCGCACCUUGGCCUGCGCCCUGCUGCGUCAGGCGCGGGGCUCGGCCCGACUGCCGCCAGGGCCGGAGUUUCUGGCCCGCCGCACUCGGGCGGGUGUUCUGGCCGUCCUGCGGCGCGGGCACUGGGGUCGGUGCGCGGGGGCCUCGCUCGGGCCCCACGGCCACGCAGGCCUCAGCCGUGUGGCCACCAGGCCUGGCGUCCUUGGGGCCGAGGCGAGGAGGGUCGCGCGCGGGCCUAGCACCGAGGGCCAGUGUGGCGGGAACUCCUGGAACUGGGCGGUGUGGCGGGGGACAGCGCCUGGUCGUGGUGGAGGUCCCCAGGCCGAGCGCAGGGUGGAGGCCUGGCGGGCCAUGUGCCAGCGGCUGCGGGGCCUCAGCACCCGGCCCGUGACGAAGCCCGCGCAUGCCGCUGUAGUGCUCAGGAGUCUGGAUUCGGUUCUCCGUACUGUCGAUCUUUAUUCAAACUCCUGAUUUCUUGUAGUUUAUAUUCCUAAGGCUUAUUUGACGUCGCUCCUCAAAAGGAGCCACUUACUCCCGAGUCGAUGAGAUUCAAGCCUUAGGUCCUUCAAACCUGCCCCCCCCCCCCUUUUUUUUUAAAUGGAGCGGGGUGGAAAGGACUCCAGGUUGUCAGGCCUUUAAGGCCAUCAGGGCGGCAGAGGUCUUUGCCAAUAUUUCUCGGAUUAAACGGAUAUAAAUUACAAGCAAGCCUCGGAAGUAGAGUUGGCAAAGAUCAAUCUAGAUUUUUCGUUAGCGUGAAAACCUGUUUUAGAACGGUUUAAUCGCUCUCACUUGGGUUUGGGUGUUGAUUUUAUAGGUAAAGCUUUUGCUUGUUGCCACAUGUCAAGCACAUGGCCUAGGCCACCAGGCACUUUCAGAGGAAGUGACUACAUCUGGGGUGGGGGUGGGGGUCUUAAGAAAAGGAGACAUUGCACAGCAAUCGGCUGAUUAGGUUUUGGCAAUAUUCUUGAAGACACAAAAUAGACCAAAUAAAUCACGACACUUAAUUAAUUUGUCUGCAUUAAAGAAAAAAGGAAUUAAGUUAUCCCCAUUUACACAAUUUUUUUUUAUGAGAUAAAAGUUCCCAUUUCCUGUUGUUUGACCCAAUUUUGGAAAGGUUUACGCCAAUGAAUUAGUAU
rnacentral:lncRNA from 1 species